CAUAACAUUUGAUUUUGUUGUCUAGCAGAUGUGUAAUGCAGUCUAGCAGAUGUGUAUGUCUAGUGUGCUCUGCUGAAGGAAGUGCUCAUGAUACUGGUUAUAACCUUAGUAACCAGUAAGCAGCAGAUACAGCUCCAGUGCAAACAACCUGCUGCCUUCUUACUAGAAAAAACCUACCUGUGCUGCUGGACCCAACUCAAGACCACAUGCAGAAUGACAGCCAACCUUUUAGUGCGCAUCUUUACAAAACCCAAUGCACUGCACCCUAUUCGAGGUUUCCUGAGAAACUGUUCCAAUGAAACAACAAAAAAGGAAUCCUCACAGGAAAUAGCAACCACAGACGUCUGUGGACGCAGGCAGAAUUAGUGGCAGACUUUGGCACAACCUGUACCACAGGAGAAAAAAGCACGGUAAGGAAAAAAAGACAAUGCAGGAGAGGGUUAAUUCAGAACCCUCAAGCUUUUGACAAACAGCAGAUGAAGAAGUUGAUGCAAAGUACACUCAGGUUCAUUUUAAAAAAUGAUCAAAAGUUAGUCUGGGUAUUUCUAAAACACAACCAACUGUGUCAAAAGCCAGUUCCAAGUGCAUUACAAACGAUGUCUUUAACACUGCUGUCACGAUCAGAUACUUCUUACAUUUACUCCUAGUCAGCAUACCUCAAGAAAUUUGACCCCCACUUUGAAAGACCAACAGAAAGACUGGUAAACAUACAGAAGGCUUUCCAUAUAUUUGACUUCAAGAGUUAAAUAUAAGAGAAUGCCAAGUUAUCUAUUAUAAAAAGAGUCAAAAAAAAAAAACCCUAAAAACCUAGAUGGUAGUUAUUGUUGGUACUGUGCAGGUACUAACAGAAAAAUAUCCCAACGUAGCCUUAAUUAAAAGCACUAUGCAUCCUAAAAUAGUUUGUUGCAUUAUUGUUCUCUUAAGAACAGCUGGGAGAGCUUUCUUAAGAAUAGAAUAAUUAUCAGUAGAAGAUAUGUAAAUAAUAUAUAUGUACAAAUUUUCUAGCCAAAGGAGAGGCAGAAGGAAAAAAGACCAUUAAGUCUGGUGUAUUAUGCCCAACAAAAUCUUACUACUGGAGCUUUAUGAAUUCCACGAGACAGUGAAAUUCACUACAGAUGUUAGAAAGUAGAAAAAGCAUCAUCUUGUAACACAAAAAGGAGAAAUCAACUGUAUGUUAACAAACUAACUUUUAAAUUGUGUGAGGUCCAUAGCUGCACAAUACCCCCAAAAUUAAAAACCCUGGCAUGAUACUCUCUAGAGUUCUUUGACUUAAUUUUGCAGUGUUCAACAAGUUCUGGAUUUUCUCUUGUGACAGUAGGCUGAAAUAACCUGUACAUAAACCAUGGCCUGGGAUCCAAAUGCUGUAAAUUACCUUUGAGAUCACUUAUUAAUGCCAGUAGGUAAAAUCAUGCAAAGUAAAACUUCAUUUCACUGUCUUUUCAAAAGUAAUGCUUAGAGAAAUGCUUGUCUGUUUUAGCUCCUCACAGUCCUCACACAAUGUUAAUCAAAAGACAUUACAAGCUCUGAAAACCACAGCUACUGACAGCACAAACUGUAUUUAUCAGCCAUUCAGCUUAUGGGCACAGGCCCGUUCUUUCCCACACAGAUAACUACAUUUUCAAAAGACAUCUUGUUGAACAAAAUGAGGCCUCGGGCUAUCAGAAUUUCUUCCAGCUUACCUCCUUAACGGAACGUUUCCUAAAAAACAAAAACAACAUCUUAUCUUACAUUGUCUUCCAGUCAGAGUACAUGGAAUUAAUAGACAACUUCCUGACCUUGUCAUCACCACUUCUUCCCCAAAACUCUGCUUGUGCCAGCAGAUUUAGAUUCCUUUCCAUAGCAAGAGCUGCCAUACCCAGAGAACACGAACUGGGAAAAUAAAUGGAGGGGUCAGGAGACUACCAGUUGAUUAAAAAGACACAGCACAAGAACACAGUACAUACUAUCCUAAGCUUAUCUGGCUAUCAUAUUAACUUCCUUCUUUUCACUUCACUGAGUUAAACAAUAUUAUUUGGAACAUGCAGUGCCAACCAGUAUACCAUGAAAAUGUAAGGUUCUCAAUGAAAAACAAAUUACUGAUAUGGUGGAAGCCACAUAAUUUCACAGACAACUGAUAUGACAAAGUCUGGCAUUUAGUUAUUCUGAGCUCUGCUACUGUGAAUCACUUGGACUCUGCUCAUUUGGGAUGAAUGAAAGUGAAAUCUGCUUUCUCCAAAGUAGUCUUGAAAGACUAAUGACCAAGCACAAGGAGACAAGACGUUACAGAAGAAAUGCAGCAAGAACACUGUCCAACCAUAGUCAGUCUCUGCCGUUUACAAAAGCUGAAAAGCAGUCUGCAGGACGCUGCAGAAGUUGCACGGCAAAGUCAAAGGUAAAAUCCAAGUAUAUGGAAGCAAAAAUACAGGCUUGAGUCUUAAAUACUUGCAGUUAAUUGAAGCAACCACCUGUUCUUAUAAUUUAAGAGCCCUCAGAUGGAGUACUAACAGCUUUUAGCUGUGUUACUGGAGAUGACUAUCACAAGGCUGAAGCCUGUUCAGUAUUUUUCUAAUGAAAUUUUAUCCUGAAUAUUCAAGAGACAGAUUAAGAGGUAAAACUGAUAAAAAACUAAAUAUCCUCUUAAAAAUGGGUUCUAUAUUGGACCACAGCGAAUCUAAAGCUGACUCACCACACGACCAUGGCACGUUACUUGACCUCUCUGUGCUUUCAUUAAUGCAUCUGCAAUGGUGUAACAGCAACACCUCAGUGCUGAGCUGCAUCUCAUUUCAGUCCUGAAUGAGUAAUCAACAUGUGCCUGAGCUGCAGAAACAAAGUCACAUCCGUGGAGAAAUUGCUAUACUGCACCAACUCUACUCAAGUUGAUCAGAUCUGUGAGGAGGGAACACAAACAAGUGUGAACAGGCAAUCAACCACAAAUUUAAUUUCUAACUCAUAACAAUAAUUGAGUGCCACUGCAUCAGUCAUUCCGGUCUAGUUCAGAGAUGGAUUUAUAAUAAAGCAGCUGCAAAGGUUAAUACUUAUGCUACAUCCACACUUUUAUUUACAUCUUUCAGUUUCCUUUAUGAUCAGAAUUGCCCAUUUGUAGAUGUUAUUUUCUAGAUCUCAAAUUGGAGAGUCAAAUGCAGCGAUUUUUGUUGCAGCAGAUUCCAGUGUCAUAGCAGCUCAACUGUGUUAAGAGCACAACCAUUUGUUACCUGCUGAGCUUCAAUUUGUGCACUGAAAAACUGAGACAGACAGUUUCCUUACCAUCCUGCACACAAGGAAACAAGACAAGUAAACAACACAGCAGCACGUAGAGCACAGAGCUCUUUCCCAGCACUAAGCCAGUCCCUCUCUCCCACUGCUGUUUCACUUUUGGUUCCCUGCUGCUACUCAAGCACAUUCAGGUCAGUAAAAACUUAUCAAGUUUCAGAACGUCUUUCCAAGUGUCUCUUCUGAAGUGCUAGAUAUGUGCUUGCAACUAUGCUGUUUAGAUCUUGCUCUCUGAUCUGGUAAAUAUGUUAUUAAGUCUUCUGCUGAGUUUCUGUCAAUGUUUACAGUUCUGUAAGUCAUCUAAUCAAAUGCACAUAAACUGAUCACUGAUCCAGUUCUGUCUAAAAGUACCAUGGACACAUAAACAGACAUUACAGAAAGUGAAACACAGGUUGCUUGAAACGAUCUAUUCAUUUGAAAAGUUUUCACACUUAAAUGCUUUUAGUGGUAACAGUCUGGCCAGAGUGUAAUCAGGUGUCCUUGUUUCAGUUGGGAAAGUAUUUUUUCCCCACUUCACAGUAUCUGAUAUGAUGCUAUGUUUUGGCUUUAGGAGAAAACCAAAGCUGAUAACGCAUGGAUGUUUCAGCUGUCACUGGGCAGUGCUGCACACAGCCAAGGACAUCUCAGUUUCUCAGCUUCUAAGUUAACAUAAAAGUCCUGCCAGCUGUGGGGCUGGGAGGGAGCAGAACCAGGGCACGCUGACCUAAACUGGCCAAAGGGCUCUUCUACGCUGCAUAGCAACAUGUGACAAAAAAGGAAAACAGUGGGGAGUUGGGCAGGGGGGGCUGCUGCUGCUCAGGAACUGUCUGGGUGUCAGUCUUCAGGUGGAGAAAUAUUUCUGAAUUGGAGAAAAAGGAAUCUUCCCAGCCUGGUACAGAAUUGCUGAAAUGAGGAGGAUGUGUUGAGGGACAAGACCACUAUGGAAGAGUUGAAGAGGUGAAGACAGAAGGACGGUGCAACAGACAAGUACCUUAGUUCACAACACAAAUGAUGCAAUUAAUCACAAUUUCUGUGCAACUUUUGAUAAGGUCCUUUGUUUCUCUGUACCCCUGUGCUCCACUUAGAAAAACUGGAACAAACCUUUAUUUAACUCUCAGAAAUUAGCCAUAUCACGUGCUCUGGGUUGUCAGAUAAGAAUGUAACAGGCAGUAUUAGGUAUGUCAAAAUUGUGACUGUUUUGCUUACUGUUCUGUUUAUUAAACCUAAAACCCAUUCAACUAUUUGCUCUACUUUUUACCAAUUCUGGACAUGCUUAAUACUCAUCUGUAAAUGUAUAGGCAAUUUUCCAAAGAUCAGAAAUAUUUGGGUUUAGCUGUCUGAUGCACUUCAGAUAGUAUAGAACAGAUAUCACACAAAACCAAGGCCUUUCCUACUCCUCCAGACUAAAGCUCUGUUUGCCCAUGAUUUCUUUGAGCCGCUGUGAAGUGGUUUACAGAACUACUCUCAACUGAAAGUCUUCUGUAACACUGGUUCUUCUUAUUUGAAAUAGGUAAAAUCCUUUUUACACAAGGUGCUCUGCAGAGCAGCCUGAUUGUAACUCUUGGCAUAGUGACCAGAAGCAGAAAAAGCCAGAAAUUAAAGCAGUGAACAGAAGGACAAGGUCUCUCAAAACAGCAAUUCAGAAAGAAAAUGUGCAGGCUUUCUUGGUUGUUUUUUUGUCAUACUCCUACAGAUUUUGUUAGAAGAAAGUUUAUCUGGCAAGCAUACAAUUAUUUUUAGCUUAGCUUAAUCAAUAAACAGCCUUGUGUUGAAGUAAAGUUUUUAGUUAACACUGUUAACAGAUAUUUAGAGAGCUUUCUAGCCACUGAAAUAUAGCAAGAGCUUCCUUUAUUUUGAGAACUCUGUUAAAAUUAACUUAAAUUGAUUGCAAAUAUAAAAUAACCAUUGA